rnacentral:rRNA from 1 species
CAGUCGCCGCGGGAAUACGUAGGGUGCGAGCGUUAAUCGGAACUACUGGGCGUAAAGCGUGCGCAGGCGGUUUGUUAAGACAGAUGUGAAAUCCCCGGGCUCAACCUGGGAAUGGCAGUGGAUACUGGCUCGCUAGAGUGUGUCAGAGGAUGGUGAAAUUCCCGGUGUAGCGGUGAAAUGCGUAGAGAUCGGGAGGAACAUCAGUGGCGAAGGCGGCCAUCUGGGACAACACUGACGCUGAGGCACGAAAGCGUGGGGAGCAAACAGGAUUAGAUACCCCCGUAGUCCCUGUCUCUUAUAC